rnacentral:rRNA from 1 species
UACAGAGGUCCCAAGCGUUGUUCGGAUUCAUUGGGCGUAAAGGGUGCGUAGGCGGCGCGGUAAGUCGGGUGUGAAAUCUCGGGGCUUAACUCCGAAACUGCAUUCGAUACUGCCGGGCUAGAGUCCGGAAGAGGCGAGUGGAACUCCUGGUGUAGCGGUGGAAUGCGCAGAUAUCAGGAAGAACACCAACGGCGAAGGCAGCUCGCUGGGACGGUACUGACGCUGAGACGCGAAAGCGUGGGGAGCGAACAGG